rnacentral:tRNA from 1 species
GAAAAAGCACGCAAGAACUGCUAAUUCANNCCUCCACGUAUAAAAAC